rnacentral:lncRNA from 1 species
CUUCUCCUUAACUGCAGCUGCACGGCCCUUGGCCCAACGGCCAUCUACUCUAACAAACACCAUGCGCUGAAGGGAGUGGUUGUUGUAGGUGUCAGUGUAUGACAGUCUACAAAUAACCUCCCCCUCAAAACUCACUCUAGACUCCCUAAAAAUCACUAUGAGAGCCAUGCCAUAUGACAAGGGAACCUUGGAUCUAUUCAAGGCCUCCCUUAUGGCAUC